GGGGAUGAUAUGGCUUCGAUUAGAGCAUUGAGGCUUGAUUGCAUGUCGGCCUGAGCAUGCCGUUACGCAGCUCAUUUUUUUUAGACGCAAACAAUACAAAUUACGCUCCAGCUUACGCAAAAGCUGCGUAAGUUUAACAACUUAAUAUAGACUCCCUUCGGGUUGAGUCUUUGGAGGCUCGCACUACUGAUUCUAUCUAAGUAGAUAAUCGCGGGUUCACCCUAGAUAGAUUACUUUUAAAGGGUUGAUUUGACUUUAAAAGGACAUUUUAAAAUCUUAGCUUUUUAGUUGCCUUGUGGAUUGAGUUGCUAAAAAGUGAAAUUUUUCAAUCCUGCUAAGCAUGUAGACGUCAAGAGUAGAUGUUUUAAGACUCCGGUUCGAUCCCGGACAUCUCCACCA
rnacentral:tmRNA from 1 species